rnacentral:rRNA from 1 species
UACGUAGGGACCAAGCGUUGUUCGGAUUUACUGGGCGUAAAGGGCGCGUAGGCGGCAAUUCAGGUCAUCUGUGAAAUCUCCGGGCUUAACUCGGAACGGUCAGAUGAUACUGCUUUGCUAGAGUGCAGAAGGGGCAAUCGGAAUUCUCGGUGUAGCGGUGAAAUGCGUAGAUAUCGAGAGGAACACCAGAGGUGAAGACGGGUUGCUGGGCUGACACGUGACGCUGAGGCGCGAAAGCCAGGGGAGCAAACGGG